AUUGAACGCUGGCGGCAGGCUUAACACAUGCAAGUCGAACGGUAACAGGAAGCAGUUUGCUGCUUUGCUGACGAGUGGCGGAUGGGUGAGUCAUGUCUGGGCAACCGCUCGCUGGAGGGGGAUAACUACUGGCAACGGCAGCUAAUACCGCAUAACGCCGCCAGCCCAAAGAGGGGGACCUUAUGGCCUCUUGUCAUCGGAUGUGCGCAGAUGGGCUUCGCUAGUAGGUGGGGGAACGGCUCACCUAGUCGACGAGCGAUCGAUGGUCUGAGAGGAGGGCCAGCCACAUGAGAACGGAGACGCGGCCCAGGCUCCUACGAUAGGCAGCAGUAGGGAAUGUGGGGCAAUAGGCGCAAACCUGAUGCAGCCAUGCCACGUGUAUUAAGAAGACGUUCGGGUUGUAAAGUACUUUCAGCGGUGACAAAGGGAGUAAAGUUGAUACCUUUGCUCAUUGACGUUACCGGCAGAAGAAGCACCGGCUAACUCCGUG
rnacentral:rRNA from 1 species